GGGGGUGUAGCUCAGGGGUAGAGCAUUUGACUGCAGAUCAAGAGGUCCUUGGUUCAAAUCACAUUUUUA
rnacentral:tRNA from 1 species